rnacentral:rRNA from 1 species
AGCAGCCGCGGUAAUUCCAGCUCCAAUAGCGUAUAUUAAAGUUGUUGCAGUUAAAAAGCUCGUAGUUGAAUUUCGAGAUCGGCUUACUGGUCGUGCUUUUGUACGUACUGGUAAAUCGGUUUCUCCUUUCUGACGAACUUUAAUGCCAUUAAUUUGGUGUUUUAGGGAAUCAGGACUGUUACUUUGAAAAAAUUUAGAGUGUUUAAAGCAGGCUCACGCUUGAAUACAUUAGCAUGGAAUAACGGAAUAGGACGUUUGAUUCUAUUUUGUUGGUUUCUAGGAUCGACGUAAUGAUUAAUAGGGAUAGUUGGGGGCAUUAGUAUUCAAUUGUCAGAGGUGAAAUUCUUGGAUUUAUUGAAGACUAACUACUGCGAAAGCAUUUGCCAAGGAUGUUUUCAUUAAUCAAGAACGAAAGUUAGGGGAUCGAAGACGAUCAGAUACCGUCGUAGUCUUAACCAUAAACUAUGCCGACUAGGGAUCGGAUGAUGUUAAUUUUUUAAUGACUCAUUCGGCGCCUUAC